rnacentral:rRNA from 1 species
UAUAUCAGUCAUGCAUAGCAUAUCAAUAAGCGGAGGAAAAGAAACUAACAAGGAUUCCCUUAGUAACGGCGAGUGAAGCGGGAAGAGCUCAAAUUUGAAAUCUUCAAGGUUCUACCUUGACGAAUUGUAGUUUAAUAGAAGUGUUUUCUGUUAGUAGAGUGGCAAAAGUUCUUUGGAAUAGGACAUCAUAGAGGGUGAGAAUCCCGUAUUUGGUCAUUCCUCCUAGCGUUGUGAUACACUUUCAACGAGUCGGAUUGUUUGGGAAUGCAGUCCAAAAUGGGUGGUAAAUUUCAUCUAAAGCUAAAUAUUGGCGGAGAGACCGAUAGCGAACAAGUACCGUGAGGGAAAGAUGAAAAGAACUUUGAAAAGAGAGUUAAACAGUACGUGAAAUUGUCAAAAGGGGAAGCGUUUGACACCAGUGUUGUUUUUCCGAAAAUCAAUUACGAAUGUUUUGUUUUUAAGAAGUUAUGACUUCAUCGGCUUGCUUCUUUCUUUACGAAACUUUCUUAAUGCACUUUUCGGUUAACAAGUCAACAUCAAUUUCUUUUGUUGUAAAAGGGUAUGAGGAAGGUGGCUUUCUUUUCGGAGAAAGUGUUUAUAGCCUUGUGCCUCUGCAAUCGGAGAGAUUGAGGUCUGCAGCGUAGAUCCUUCGGGGUUAGAUACAUUUGUGCUAAGUUAUAGCUUUUUCAUAGACAACAUUGUUGACUAUGAUUUAAGUCAUUGUAGCUUACUCGCUUACUGCUAUUUUACCUACGCUUAGGAUGUUGAUCUCUCACAGUCGAGC